rnacentral:rRNA from 1 species
GAGAUCUUCGGAUUUAGUGGCGAACGGCGGAGUAAGACAUGAGGAACGUGCCCUGAAGACUGGGAUAUACAGAAGAAAUUCUGGGUAAUACCGGAUGUGUCCAAUUACUGGCAUCAGUGAUUGGGUAAAUGGUUUUUCGCUUCAGGAGCGCCUCAUGCCCCAUCAGGUAGUUGGUAGGGUAAUGGCCUACCAAGCCGACGACGGGUAGCGGGUCUGAGAGGAUGAUCCGCCCGAGUGGGACUGAGACACGGCCCACACACCUACGGGUGGCAGCAGUUGGGAAUCUUGCACAAUGGGGGAAACCCUGAUGCAGCGACACCGCGUGGAGGAUGACGGAUUUAGGUCUGUAAACUCCUUUUGCUAGGAAAGACUUAGGACGGUACCUAGCGAGUAAGCUCCGGCUAACUACGUGCCAGCAGCCGCGGUAAUACGUAGGGAGCGAGCGUUGUCCGGAUUUACUGGGCGUAAAGGGCGCGUAGGCGGCUUGUUAAGUGUGGUGUGAAAUCUCCAGGGCUCAACCCGGAAACUGCACCGCAUACUGGCUAGCUAGAGAGAGGUAGAGGUAAGUAGAAUUCCUGGUGUAACGGUGACAUGUGUAGAUAUCAGGAGGAAUACCGAUGGUGAAGACAGCUUACUGGGCCUUUUCUGACGCUGAGGCGCGAAAGCGUGGGUAGCAAACAGAAUUAGAUACUCUGGUAGUCCACGCCCUAAACGAUGGAUACUAGGCGUCAGGGGUAUCGACCCCCCUGGUGCCGCAGCAAACGCAUUAAGUAUCCCGCCUGGGGAGUACGUCCGCAAGGAUGAAACUCAAAUGAAUUGACGGGACCCC